rnacentral:rRNA from 1 species
CCUACGGGGGGCAGCAGUGGGGAAUAUUGCGCAAUGGGCGAAAGCCUGACGCAGCGACGCCGCGUGAGGGAUGAAGGUCUUCGGAUCGUAAACCUCUGUCAGCAGGGAAGAACGGUCACUGUGCUAAUCAGCAGUGAAUUGACGGUACCUGCAAAGGAAGCACCGGCUAACUCCGUGCCAGCAGCCGCGGUAAUACGGAGGGUGCGAGCGUUAAUCGGAAUUACUGGGCGUAAAGCGCUCGUAGGCGGUAUGUCAAGUCAAGGGUGAAAUCCCCGCGCUCAACGUGGGAACGGCCUUUGAAACUGGCAGACUGGAGGGUGUGAGAGGAUAGUGGAAUUCCAGGUGUAGGAGUGAAAUCCGUAGAUAUCUGGAGGAACAUCAGUGGCGAAGGCGACUAUCUGGCACAUAACUGACGCUGAGGAGCGAAAGCGUGGGUAGCAAACAGGAUUAGAUACCCUGGUAGUC